CUCCACCCUCACAUCAUCCAUCGGGUACACUCACCCAAUGAUGACAGUUAGCGGUCUGUGAUGUGGUUGCUGGGCCUGUUUAUUCUUUGGAAACCUACUAAAAGUAGCAUUGGAGUAUAAGCUCACCAAAAGGCCCCCGUGCUAUUAUAGGAGCACUUUGGGCAGACUUUUGAUCUGGUGGGUUUGUAAAUAAGGACCCGCCUUACUGCGGCCACUGCUUUUCCAUCUAUAUUGUUUAAAGUGGGGGAAGCUAUUUGGCAUCAACGUUGGUUUGUAACCCGGAACUGAAUAUUACAGUUUUUCAACUCCCCAAAACAAACCGGAUCAGCCCUCACAAUCCUUCAAAAUAACCCUGUCACGACUGUAGUGAGGCAGGGUUCAUUUCUCACACAUACUUGACUAUGGCCCGGUUGCCACUGCAACACCCCCCCAACGCCCCCCCCAACAAUUUGAUAAUCUGCAUUCUUCCAAGCUGCCCCGCUGUGCAAGACGACCACAAGGAUGCCUAAUUUAUCUCACCCGGACCUUAAACUAAUUAACAGCUCCACGACAAGUCUGGGUUCCAGUCAUCAAAGACUACUCUUUUUCUUUCGAACUGAUAGAGCGACCAUAAGGUUGGACCCUCUCAACCACUGGGAACAUUGCUGGAACGCAGACGACACCCGCUAGCGGUUGAGAGUUACUGCAAACCUGUGGACUCGCAUUCGAAGUUUCUUUAACUGUUUUGAUAUUUUACAAACUCUGCAGAAAUAUUCAAAAUGUAUGCCUUGGUGUCUGGGUCAUAGCUUCGGCUUUACAGGUCCAGCUGCGAGACUUAGAGAACUGUUUGUCAUGAUUUGAAGUCAAACAGUACGAAAUGUUGUAUUGAACAAUAAGCAGUUGAUCUGCCAAGAUUAAAGUUGAAACAAUCAUUCUAUAUGCUUGAUCUAUGAGAAAGAGUACAAAGUUGGGAGUAUUUUAUAUUAAUAUAUGAUUUUUACACCAUUUUUAUGGCUAAAUUGUAGACCAAAAUUCAAGUCGAUGGGCGUGGUCUUCUCCAGUUUCCCCCGUCUCCUAGACACGCCUCCUGGGUAUUUAACCUUUGACUCCCGCCUCUUCUCGGGCUCUUUUGUCUUGCUUCUUGGCUCGUCCUGACUAAACUCCGAUCCACUUUGGGGGCUGGCCGCAGCCAACCCCCCCCUUCCCCUUUGUUUGUUCGAACACGCGGUUCUGCCAACGUGAACCUGGGAUGCAAACUUGGCUUUCCGGCCUACGUGGGUCACCGCUAGGCAAUCAGAGCAACUGCUACUAAAAAAGUACCCUGUACGCUCCAAACCAAGUGUGAACACUCAGAAGUUGCUAGCGGGUCUCUCAAAAGGCAGGAAGAGCUACGGUCGUAUUCUCGCACCGAGAGCAUGAUGAAAAACUUCCCUUUUUCUUCUCCUGCCUUUUUGUUUUAUUUUUGUGCAUCUUCUUCUUCA